UACGUAGGGUGCGAGCGUUGUCCGGAAUUAUUGGGCGUAAAGAGCUUGUAGGCGGUUUGUCGCGUCUGCCGUGAAAUUUCGGGGCUCAACCCCGAACUUGCGGUGGGUACGGGCAGACUAGAGUGUGGUAGGGGAGACUGGAAUUCCUGGUGUAGCGGUGAAAUGCGCAGAUAUCAGGAGGAACACCGAUGGCGAAGGCGGGACUCUGGGCCGAUACUGACGCUGAGGAGCGAAAGCGUGGGAGCAAACAGG
rnacentral:rRNA from 1 species